rnacentral:rRNA from 1 species
GAUCAUGGCUCAGGAUGAACGCUAGCGACAGGCUUAACACAUGCAAGUCGAGGGGCAGCAUGGUAGGUAGCAAUACUUAUUGAUGGCGACCGGCGCACGGGUGAGUAACGCGUAUGCAACUUACCUAUCAGAGGGGGGAUAGCCCGGCGAAAGUCGGAUUAAUACUCCAUAAAACAGGGGUGCCGCAUGGGAAUAUUUGUUAAAGAUUUAUCGCUGAUAGAUAGGCAUGCG